rnacentral:rRNA from 1 species
AACUUUCAACAACGGAUCUCUUAGGUUCUCGCAUCGAUGAAGAACGUAGCGUAAUUGCGAUAAGUAAUGUGAAUUGCAGAUACUCGUGAAUCAAUUUGAAUUUUUGUAACGCACAUUGACGCCCUUGAGCAUUCUCAGGGGCAUGCCUGUUUGAGCGUCA